rnacentral:rRNA from 1 species
UUAUUGGAGAGUUUGAUCCUGGCUCAGGACGAACGCUGGCGGCGUGCCUAAUACAUGCAAGUCGAGCGGACCUUUGGAGGCUUGCCUCCGAAAGGUUAGCGGCGGACGGGUGAGUAACACGUGGGUAACCUGCCUGUAAGAUUGGGAUAACUCCGGGAAACCGGGGCUAAUACCGGAUGCGUCACGAAACCGCAUGGUUUUGUGAUCAAAGGUGGCACUUGUGCUACCACUUACAGAU